rnacentral:lncRNA from 11 species
AAGCAGUUUGCAUGCAAUUAAUUACUGAAGCAGGAGAUGAAUCUUGGCCUUCUCAGUAAGCUCAGGCAAAAGCAAACUGCUGCAGCUUCUUAUGAAAAGAUCUACCACUGAAAUCCUUGGAGGAAGAUAAGCAAGCAUCCAAAGAAAAGCUUCAG